rnacentral:lncRNA from 1 species
GUAGAAAGGAGCCUAAAGGAAGGACAAGAAAAUAAGAUUUUAAUUCAGAAAUUCCAAGUGCUUUUCCAGGCCUGUUACUCCCUAAGCUAGUCUCUCUUCCAGGCCUGUUACUCCCAAAUUCCUAGGAAAUCUUUAAAUCUAUCUGUGCACUGUUAAUUAAUACCACCCCCCACAAAUAGAUUUAGAGGAGAAAGAUAGGUUAUCUAGAGAAAGCUGUAAUUUAGGGGACUUUCCAGCAGUAUCUAUUGAUCAGACGAUGAAGAACAGGUCAGCCUGAGGAUCCUGAGAUUGACCAGACCACCAGAAACCAUCUUGAGAUCACCAGCCUGAUCCCAUUCCCAUCCCGACCUCUGCUCCACAAGCAGCUCUCAGCCAUGGCCUCCCAGGGCCCAGCCACUUCUCUGUUCCUGCAGGACCUUGGACCUCCAGCACCCAGUGGAUUUCCAGGGGCUCCCCAACAGCUGGCCCUGUGUUCCAAGUUCAGUGGAGGUAGAGUGCCACCACUCUCAGCCACCGCCCGAGCUGUGGCUAGGAGCCAGUUCUUUGAAAAGCCAAAAUGUCACUGACCUGACAUGCUGCCACCAAAAAAUGGGGCUCCCCACACUGUGACAAGAGGAGACAGUCCUAACAGAACAGAAGGGCUCUCCUGAAAAGGCCCAGAGCUGGUGGCUACAGCUAUAGGGCAGGGGACCCUACACUCUGUGCUAGAGGGGCUAGAGGCUAAGACUGGUGUCCAUCCUCAUUGGUUCAAAUCUGCCUCUGCUCUUUAUUAGUUCUGCUGCCUUAGGCAAAUUACUUCAUCUCUCUGAGGCUCAGUUUACACAGGUAUAAAGAUUAGGAUAGGGUUGGGGUUGUUGUUCACUGAUAGAGCACCCUGGAUUCAAUUCUCAGCACAGGGGGUGAGGACAGGGGGACACCAGCCCAGGACAGAGCUAGGACACAGCAAUGCUUCUGGGAGAAAAUAAGUCCAAGGCAUGAGAAAGGAGCCAAGCUGUACUGGGUAGUCAGGGAUACAUGUGCAUGUCAGGGACUGGCUGGCCUGGGACAACCAAGAGAGUGUCCCUCACCCAAUAUAGGGCUCUUGAGGCAAUCACUGUCCCUUCCAGCCCUCCCAGGCCCAAAGCCUUCAUCUUCCUCAUGCAUUUCUAAUCUUCUUGGUAACCCCCAAUUCCUGUGGAUCAUGUCUAGGGCUGCUGUCUCUUCUUUAUAUGUGUGUGUGUGGUACUAGGGAUUGAACCCAGGAGCAUUCUACUACCAAGCCAUAUCUCUAGCUCUUCUUACGUUUCAUUUUGAGACAGGGUUUCACCAAUUUGCUAAGGCUAGUCUCCAACUUGUGACCCUCCUGCCUCAGCCUCCUGAGUCUCUGGGAUUACAGGUAUGAGUCAAGGUGCCAGUCCAGGAUUACUGACUUUUUUGGUACUGGUUAUUGAACCCAGGGGUUCUUUACCACUGAGCCACAUUCCCUGCCCUUUUUAUUUUUUAUUUUGAGACAGGGUCUCACUAAGUUGCCUAGGUCCUUACUAAAUUGCUGAGGCUGGCCUCAAACUUGUGAUCCUCCUACUUCAGCCUCUAGAGCUGGUGGGAUUACAGGGGUGUGCCACUUUGCCCAGCUGACUCUUCUUUAAAUGAGGAUAUUAUCAGCGUAGAGCCUUAUACUUCAGGAAGCACCCUGGCUCAUGAUGGCACAACCAGGAAGUAGCAGAUCCAGCAAGCCUGGCCUCCUUGCUCCUCUAAAUGGCGCCUUCUCAGCUUGGCUCACAGGACUCAUGGAACUUAGAGGACCAUAGAGAAAAAUAGCACUGCACAUACACACGCUCACUCUCAGGAGCACACCUGUGCAAGGACACAGACCCAGCUAGGCACAAAUAACCAAAUGAGGGCUGGGGUUGUGGCUUAGUGGUAGAGUGCUUGCCUAGCACGUGUGAGGCACUGGGUUCGAUUUUCAG